rnacentral:rRNA from 1 species
GCGUUGUUCGGAAUUACUGGGCGUAAAGCGCACGUAGGCGGCUCAGCAAGUCAGGGGUGAAAUCCCGGGGCUCAACCCCGGAACUGCCUUUGAAACUGGAUGUCUUGAGUGUGAGAGAGGUGAGUGGAACUCCGAGUGUAGAGGUGAAAUUCGUAGAUAUUCGGAAGAACACCAGUGGCGAAGGCGACUCACUGGCUCAUUACUGACGCUGAGGCUCGAAAGCGUGGGGAGCAAACAG